rnacentral:RNase_P_RNA from 1 species
GAGAGGGAGAGGGCGGCCGACGGUGGCCCGGAAGGGCUGCUGAGGAAAGUCCCCCCACGCACCGGACACGCAGCUGCAUUCACGUGCAGGUGGCGAGAGUCACGGCAAUGACACAGAAACGGCACGGCCCGCCGGUAGCAAUGAGACGGUACCAGCCCUUUGGGGCGAGAAGCACCCCGCGUGCGAGAUAACCCGUCGAGCGAUGACCGUCGGGAUACGUUGAAACGGUGAAUCCCUGCGUGUGCAAGCCAGAACAGGGCUCACGGUUGUCCGGUACCUGCCCGGGUAUGGCGCUCAGCUGAAUGCCGCCACGAACAGAAGGGGGCUUACUCCUCCCACUC